GAUGAAAGAACGUAGCGAAAUGCGAUACUUGGUGUGAAUUGCAGAAUCCCGUGAACCAUCGAGUCUUUGAACGCAAGUUGCGCCUCAAGCCAUUAGGUUGAGGGCACGUCUGCCUGGGCGUCACAUAUCGUUGCCUGAUGCCAGUUUCCUCGUGAUGGGUGACUGUGCAGGGCGAAUGAUGGCUUCCCGUGAGCAUUGUUGCCUCAUGGUUGGUUGAAAAUUGAGUCCUUGGUAGGGAGCGCCGUGAUAGAUGGUGGUUGAGUGACGAACGAGACCCAAUCAUGUGAGACCCCUACCGAAUUUGGCCUUCAUGACCCACAUGCGUCUUUGGAACGCUCAUGACGAGACCUCAGGUCAGGCGGGGCUACCCGCUGAGUUUAAGCAUAUCAAUAAGCGGAGGA
rnacentral:misc_RNA from 1 species